rnacentral:rRNA from 1 species
GGCGAGUGGCGAACGGGUGAGUAAUGCAUCGGAACGUACCGAGUAAUGGGGGAUAACUGUCCGAAAGGAUGGCUAAUACCGCAUACGCCCUGAGGGGGAAAGCGGGGGGAUCGAAAGACCUCGCGUUAUUUGAGCGGCCGAUGUUGGAUUAGCUAGUUGGUGGGGUAAAGGCCUACCAAGGCGACGAUCCAUAGCGGGUCUGAGAGGAUGAUCCGCCACAUUGGGACUGAGACACGGCCCAA